UACGUAGGGGGCGAGCGUUGUCCGGAUUUAUUGGGCGUAAAGAGCCCGUAGGCGGUUUGGCAAGUCGGGUGUGAAAACUCCGGGCUCAACUCGGAGACGCCACUCGAUACUGCCAUGACUCGAGUCCGGUAGGGGAGUGCGGAAUUCCUGGUGUAGCGGUGAAAUGCGCAGAUAUCAGGAGGAACACCGGUGGCGAAGGCGGCACUCUGGGCCGGUACUGACGCUGAGGAGCGAAAGCGUGGGGAGCGAACAGG
rnacentral:rRNA from 1 species